GCCCCGGCCCCGGCUGUCCCACAAGGGCCCCAUGCCGUUCUGAGCCAGGGCUGCCGGCCGCCUUUCACGGACACGGCUUCCAUCGCUCCCGCCGAGCUCUCGCCCGCUCUGCUCAUCCUCCGGCCCCGAGCCUGGGGUCCCCCCUGUGAGCCCUCCCUGCUGGUCCCGGUGCCGUGUCCGGCACUGUGGGUGCAUCCUGCUCCUCCUGGCUGCCCCGAAGGGCCGGCUGGACGGGGGCUGCCUGCAGAGGGACCGGGGUUGCCACGAUGCUUUGUCCCGGUGGCCACGGGGCCGGCUCGGGCACCGGGCUUUGCGCAAAGCACUUUGUCAGGCAGAACAGCUUCUCCUCAGGGUCUGUGAGCCCCCUCGGGGCCCUGCCCCAGCCCGGCGGGAGCACACAGCUUGUCCUGGGUCUAUUUAUUCCCAUGGUGCUCGUCCCACACCCCGGGUGAGCUGCUCUCCCUCUCCUGCUGGCAGACCCACCGUGGUGGGGUGGGGUCCCCACCCAGGACACUGCGGGGUCCUGCACCCCUCUGCUUCACGCCGUGGGACAGCAGGGACAGGGGGCACUGGGGUCUCUGUCAAGCUCUGCCUACACCAAAGGAGGGGCCCUGGCUCUGAGCUGGGCCCUGCUGAUUGUCUCCUGUGUCUGUAAAGAUUUGUUCCAUGUAAAUACAUCUUUAUUAUAAAGAGUUAUUAUUAUUAA